rnacentral:rRNA from 1 species
AUUGAACGCUGGCGGCAGGCCUGACACAUGCCAGUCGAGCGGAUGAAGGGAGCUUGCUCCUGGAUUCAGCGGCGGACGGGUGAGUAAUGCCUAGGAAUCUGCCUGGUAGUGGGGGAUAACGUCCGGAAACGGGCGCUAAUACCGCAUACGUCCUGAGGGAGAAAGUGGGGGAUCUUCGGACCUCACGCUAUCAGAUGAGCCUAGGUCGGAUUAGCUAGUUGGUGGGGUAAAGGCCUACCAAGGCGACGAUCCGUAACUGGUCUGAGAGGAUGAUCAGUCACACUGGAACUGAGACACGGUCCAGACUCCUACGGGAGGCAGCAGUGGGGAAUAUUGGACAAUGGGCGAAAGCCUGAUCCAGCCAUGCCGCGUGUGUGAAGAAGGUCUUCGGAUUGUAAAGCACUUUAAGUUGGGAGGAAGGGCAGUAAGUUAAUACCUUGCUGUUUUGACGUUACCAACAGAAUAAGCACCGGCUAACUUCGUG